CUGCACAGUUUGGACGGAGGCUGUCUAGAAGUCAAGUUGGCCUGUGUGUGAUUCAGUGAUACAACGUUGGACACUGCCUUCCCGUCCCGUGUGACUGUUGACUGACUCAACGAAACGAGGCUUCCAGAUUCCAGGUUCCAAAUUAUUAUCUGCGCCAACUGUUCAGGACCCCUCUGCUGAAGUGGAGGAUGACCAGGAGUAAGACUCAUGGAUACCACGGCUGGACCAUCGGCAGGAGGACCCCUCCGCUGAAGCGUAGGAUGACCUGGAGGAGGACGCAUGGAUACCACGGUCGGACCAUUGGCAGGAGG